CCGCGCCAUUUAAAUAGUUUUCCUUAUUGUUACCUUGUGUCAUGAUGGGCAUCACACAAGGUUUUCACGUGCAGUAUUUUUUAAAGGGCAACUCCAGUGUUACACAUAAUGAUAAAUAGUCAUGAAGGGUAUAACUCAGCCUGUGAAAACAGUAGUAUAUAUGUCUUCUGUGGCUCUGAAAUGAGCUUCAAGUCUAAGAAAAUAAUCCCUAAUGACAAACAUUUUGACACUACACUACUUUCCAAGAACUUAAAUAUAAAGGUGGGUAAAUUAAGUUGGGUUAACCCUCCUCCACAUCAAGUGCAAUAAAAAGAUCAUAUAGGGAAAUGGAAGUGGAAUACUAAAUCAAUGCAGUACCCCUUUACAUCCCGGCCCUUUCUCUGUAUAGGGUGAAUUUUAUUUUGGGCAGAAACGCAGCUGACCCAUCCAAUUACAGUACUUGCAGGACUACAUUACAUUUAAUGUGUCCAUCAGUGGCUUCAGCAACAUGGGUCAGAGUUGCAAGUGUUUUUUGAUGGUCAGUGUUCAAAACUCAUUUUCCAAAGUGCUGUAGUUGAUGUCAUGGUGGCAUCAUUUCAAAGAUGGUGGCUCUUUAGGUCACCUUCACACUGUUAAUACUGGUAAUAAUGUAACAAUCCAUUAUGCUUGUAUAAAAUCCUGCAAAACUACAGAACAAAAUUAAAAUCUCAAAGUCAUUUCACUGAACUUUUUAAUUAUCAACCUAAAUCUCCAAACAGUUGCAUAUCUGCUUAUAUUUGUGGCUCUUGCCAGUUAACAAGUGCCAUCAAUUUGGAAUGAAUUUGUUGAACGUAUUCAUAACUAAAGGAACGUAUCAUAAUUCUGGCAACAAUUUUGUGCUCUGUGAUUGUAUUGCGCAUAAAUUCACUCUGAUUACAAUUCCCUAGCUCAUUGCAGAUCGGGAAUCAGCUCCGAUAAGUGAGACCUCGUGCUUUUUUUAAUCAUUAUUAAUCAUUCAAAUAGAUGUACUAUUUCACUCUGUUUCCACUCAGAUAAAGCAUAAUAGUUUUUGCCUUCUACUAAAACAAAGUGAAGUAAGUUUAAUGCCCCAUGUCAGUGACGAAGAGAGGUUGACUGUUGGGACUCCCAUUCAGUUAUUCAGUCAACCAGCAGAGGGAGCUGCCUCCCUGCUUCCCGCGGCUAUGGACAAUGGAGAGUUUAUGGAUUGAUGUUUCAGUCCGACAAAACCACUAAAAUAAAUAUGACAGACGGAAGCUCCACUUUGUGCGGUUGUUCUCAAGCAACAGCUCAGAGGACCUGGGGAAAUAAGGCCUUUAUGAAAUCACUCCAGCAUUAUACAAUGCGAUGUCACCUAAUAGUAUUGUGAUACUCAAUCUUGUGUGAGAACACUUUAAAGAGAUGUUGGGAAUUUCACUGGCCCACAGGUCUGAGACCCAGACAGUGAUACUACUAAAACAGAAUUUUAUAAUGGUACAUUUAAACGUUUCAAACUUUGCUGUGGUGUGAAGUGGUUGUGUUGACAUGCCAUGGUGUCUAUGAGGAAGAAAUAUAUUUUAGGUCUUUGACGAGAAAGAGCUUGUGGUACUGGAUAUUUAAACAAAUACUUUUAAAUUUACCCCUUAUAAAAAAGUGUAUUAGCAUAUUAUUGAAUUUUAUCAUGAUCAUUCUCAUGUUUUGAAAUAAACAUUUAUAUACUUA